GACGAACGCUGGCGGCGUGCUUAACACAUGCAAGUCGAACGGAAAGGCCCUGCUUUUGUGGGGUGCUCGAGUGGCGAACGGGUGAGUAACACGUGAGUAACCUGCCCUUGACUUUGGGAUAACUUCAGGAAACUGGGGCUAAUACCGGAUAGGAGCUCCUGCUGCAUGGUGGGGGUUGGAAAGUUUCGGCGGUUGGGGAUGGACUCGCGGCUUAUCAGCUUGUUGGUGGUGUAGUGGCUUACCAAGGCUUUGACGGGUAGCCGGCCUGAGAGGGUGACCGGCCACAUUGGGACUGAGAUACGGCCCAGACUCCUACGGGAGGCAGCAGUGGGGAAUAUUGCACAAUGGGCGGAAGCCUGAUGCAGCAACGCCGCGUGCGGGAUGACGGCCUUCGGGUUGUAAACCGCUUUCGCCUGUGACGAAGCGUGAGUGACGGUAAUGGGUAAAGAAGCACCGGCUAACUACGC
rnacentral:rRNA from 1 species